AAGGAUUUAAGUUAAAAAAACUAAGAACCUUCAAAGUUCUAAUUAAAGUAAGUUCUUUAAGCCUUA
rnacentral:tRNA from 1 species